AUUGAACGCUGGCGGCAUGCUUUACACAUGCAAGUCGAACGGCAGCGCGGGCUUCGGCCUGGCGGCGAGUGGCGAACGGGUGAGUAAUGCAUCGGAACGUGCCCAGUAGUGGGGGAUAGCCCGGCGAAAGCCGGAUUAAUACCGCAUACGACCUGAGGGUGAAAGCGGGUGACCGAAAGGCCUCGCGCUAUUGGAGCGGCCGAUGUCGGAUUAGCUAGUUGGUGGGGUAAAGGCUUACCAAGGCGACGAUCCGUAGCUGGUCUGAGAGGACGACCAGCCACACUGGGACUGAGACACGGCCCAGACUCCUACGGGAGGCAGCAGUGGGGAAUUUUGGACAAUGGGGGCAACCCUGAUCCAGCCAUGCCGCGUGCGGGAAGAAGGCCUUCGGGUUGUAAACCGCUUUUGUUCGGGAAGAAAUCCUCUGGGCUAAUACCCCGGGGGGAUGACGGUACCGGAAGAAUAAGCACCGGCUAACUACGUG
rnacentral:rRNA from 1 species